rnacentral:rRNA from 1 species
AUGGCGAGGCACAGCCUCCUUGCCGUGCUCCUCGUCGGGCUGGUCGCGGCCUCCGGCUUCAGCCAGGCGGCCGCCGCUGGCCGGGGCCUUGCUGAGAAGCUCCCCGAGCCGGAGCCCAAGCCGACGCCGUACCCAGAGCCCAAGCCGCAACCCAAGCCAGAGCCAAUGCCUAAGCCUGAACCCAUGCCAAAGCCAGAGCCUAAGCCUGAACCCAUGCCAAAGCCAGAGCCUAAGCCUAUGCCCAAACCCGAACCCAUGCCAAAGCCAGAGCCCAAACCGGAACCGAAGCCGGAGCCGAUGCCAAAGCCUGAACCUAAGCCUGAGCNNNNNNNNNNNNNNNNNNNNNNNNNNNNNNNNNNNNNNGAGCCGAUGCCGAAGCCAGAACCGAAGCCAGAGCCCAAGCCUGAGCCGAUGCCAAAGCCAGAGCCUAAGCCCGAACCAUUGCCUAAACCAGAGCCUAAGCCAGAGCCCAAGCCUGAACCUAUGCCUAAGCCGGAGCCCAAGCCUAAGCCCGAACCGAAGCCGGAGCCGCCUCCGAAGGGCAAGCCGCCAAUGACUGACAAUUGAUGUGAUACUCACAUAUGACAGUGGGAGGAGGAGAUCGACCCCGUCCGGAGCCACGAUGUGUUAUUUCUAGAAUAAGUGGCGUAGUAUCCGGCUAGCGAGAUAGUGAUGAUGCAUCUUUUUGUAUUGCUUCCGUAUUCCACCAUUCCUUUUAGUUUCUGUUGUUCCAUGCACCCGUGAUGAGUAUUACUACUUUGUAAUUAUCAUUUGCGUGUUGGUAUACGUUCAUCUGUGCACAUGACUCGUUGUUCUUUCGUGUAUCUACACAUGCUUUUAUUCGUUUGCAUGAAAGACACAUUUUAUCCAGCAGACAGCAGUCUAUGUUGUUUUCCUUU